UACAGAGGUCCCAAGCGUUGUUCGGAUUCAUUGGGCGUAAAGGGUGCGUAGGCGGCGCGGUAAGUCGGAUGUGAAAUCUCGGAGCUUAACUUCGAAACUGCAUUCGAUACUGCCGUGCUUGAGGACUGGAGAGGAGACUGGAAUUUACGGUGUAGCAGUGAAAUGCGUAGAUAUCGUAAGGAAGACCAGUGGCGAAGGCGAGUCUCUGGACAGCAACUGACGCUGAGGCACGAAGGCCAGGGGAGCAAACGGG
rnacentral:rRNA from 1 species